UUCGCAAUGCCCGAAAGGGUGACGAUGCGACGCCGCGUGAGCGAAGAAGGCCCUAGGGUUGUAAAGCUCUGUCGAGGGUUAUGAAAUAUAGAUGGGUUAAUACCACAUUUAUUUGACAAAAGCCCAAAAGGAAGCCACGGCUAACUCUGUGCCAGCAGCCGCGGUAAUACAGAGGUGGCGAGCGUUGUUCGGUAUUAUUGGGCGUAAAGAGCACGUAGGUGGUUUUGUAAGUCAGGUGUGAAAGCCUUCUGUUCAAAGGAAGAACGGCAUCUGAAACUGCAGAUCUUGAGUGUAGGAGGGGAGAGUGGAACUUCUGGUGGAGCGGUGAAAUGCGUAGAUAUCAGAAGGAACGUCGGCGGCGAAAGCGACUCUCUGGCCUAUUACUGACACUGAGGUGCGAAAGUUAGGGGAGCAAACGGGAUUAGAUACCCCGGUAGUCCUAACCGUAAACGAUGGGCACUAAGUAGAGGGGUUUU
rnacentral:rRNA from 2 species